AGGAGGAGGAGCGACUCCCUGACAACCCAGAGAGGUUCUGUUACUAUGAGAGUGUCCUGGGUUCCGAGGGCUUCAACUCCGGACGACACACCUGGGACGUGGAGGUGGGCGUGAACAGCGAGUGGGCCGUGGGCGUGGCACGGGAGACGGUCUCGAGGAAGGAGUGGUUCACCCCGAGCCCAGAGAGGGGCCUGUGGACCAUCUGCUACUAUGGAGGUGAAUACCGCGCCCGCACGGCCACCGCCACCCCCCUGGUCCUGAAAAGAAGGCCCCAGGAGGUCAGAGUGCAGCUGGACUGGGACAGAGGCAGGGUGAUCUUCUCUGACGCCUCAGACAACACGCUCAUCUACAAGUUCCAACACAAGUUCACCCAUAGAGUGUUCCCUUACUUCUCCAACACCUGCAAGAGACAUCCUCUGAGGAUCUCAGCCGGGAAGGUGUCAGUUACAGCGGAGUAGCUUGGUUCAUUCAUUAAGAGCUGAUUUGGUAAAUCUAUAGUUCAGGGACAUUAAAAAGCUGUUGCUGCAGAACAGGUAAAAACAUUGGCUUUAAAGUGGAUGCACCUUUACUGCAGCAAAGGCAUUUUUAUGCAGCUACGUGACUGCUUUCUGUCUCUCUGGGUUCCAACCUAAAUAAAUAAUUACUGACUCUCUGGGUUCUAAUCUAAAUAGAUAAUUACUGACUCUCUCUGGGUUCUAAUCUAAAUAGAUCAUUACUGACUCUCUCUGGGUUCUAAUCUAAAUAAAUAAUUACUGGCUCUCUGGGUUCCAACCUAAAUAAAUAAUUACUGACUCUCUGGGUUCCAACCUAAAUAAAUAAUUACUGACUCUCUGGGUUCCAACCUAAAUAAAUAAUUACUGACUCUCUGGGUUCCAACCUAAAUAAAUAAUUACUGACUCUCUGGGUUCCAA